rnacentral:rRNA from 1 species
UGAGGAAUAUUGGUCAAUGGGCGGAAGCCUGAACCAGCCAAGUAGCGUGCAGGAAGACGGCCCUAUGGGUUGUAAACUGCUUUUAUACGAGAAUAAUUUGAUGCACGUGUGCGUUAUUGCAUGUAUCGUAUGAAUAAGGACCGGCUAAUUCCGUGCCAGCAGCCGCGGUAAUACGGAAGGUCCAGGCGUUAUCCGGAUUUAUUGGGUUUAAAGGGAGUGUAGGCGGUUUGUUAAGCGUGUUGUGAAAUUUAGAUGCUCAACAUUUAACUUGCAGCGCGAACUGUCAGACUUGAGUACACGCAACGUAUGCGGAAUUCAUGGUGUAGCGGUGAAAUGCUUAGAUAUCAUGAAGAACUCCGAUUGCGAAGGCAGCAUACGGGAGUGUAACUGACGCUUAAGCCCGAAGGUGCGGGUAUCGAACAGGAUUAGAUACCCUGGUAGUCCGCACAGUAAACGAUGGAUGCCCGCUGUUAGCGCCUGGCGUUAGCGGCUAAGCGAAAGCAUUAAGCAUCCCACCUGGGGAGUACGCCGGCNACGGUG